UGCACAUCUUCAGAAGAUGAGGAAGUGAAGUCUUGCGCAUACACUUGACCCAGUUAAAAUCUCUCUCUGAGCAUUUGUCAACUUGCACAUCACAGUGGAAAUCUGCACUUCAACAAGAGCUACACCCUUCGAGGAGAACUGUUGCAAAGAAACAUGAGAUGCUCCGGAAUCCCAGGGAGAGUUUUUGUUCUUGUUUUGUUCACUUACACUCUGAGUUUGUUUCCUGGCACCCACUCCUCUAAUUUGAAGUCAGCCAGAGUUCUUUAACACUUCUGACUUGUCUCUGAUUUGUCUUUCAUUUCUCUUUUGUAGACUUAAAGCUAUGGAGCCCCUUCAAGAAAGAAAAGAAACCAUACUGGAAGAUUAGAGCCUUGCAUGGAUAUUGAAAGCCUUUUCUGCUCAACCUUUGUUUCAUCAUGGCAUUGUUUUAAAAUAGAUUGCACAUGAGAAAAUAAAUGUAGACUCUGCAAAUGGAGCCAGAAAUCUGUGAAUAGGGGCUUUAUGGAUUACCUUCAAUUCUUUGAAGAACUGAAGGUGAAAAGCUGGCUUUUUGUGACCACAAAGUGAACAGUGCUGAGUCCUGAAGACACGUGAUCUCAGUUCCAGGUCUCAGUCAGUAGACUUGUGUCGGUGCAUCUGGCUACGUGCAGCAAUGCUGUGUAUGCAGUCCCAGUUGCCAGUCAUCAUUCUGGGGCUGCUCUGCAUGGGCCUGAUGGUGUUUUCAGCUCAUGGAGGUAACAGAGGGAAAGCUGUUAUGUGCCCACAGGAAUGCAACACAGGGCUUGUUGGAAACCCAAACAGAGGCAGGAAGAAGCAUGAAGGUGGUGGUCGGUACCAGCACAAUUAUGCUACCAGUCGAACAUGUUGGGAGAAGCCAUCAUCCGGCAUUCAUGAGCUUUUGUGUACAUGGUAUCCUCCUGUUUAAAAGGGCUCUUUCAUAAUAUAGAGGCCUCACCUUCAACAGUGGCCUCUAUUCCAUGGCUCACACUGAGUAAGUUGUCCCCUACUGUUUGAUAACGAUAACAUCCAUUGUCUUUCUGAUGAACUGAGAUAACCUCCAGAGUAAACACGUUGAUCUUCCAUUUUGUUUUGCCCUCCUUCAGCUGCACACAUGUAGCCUCUUCCAUCUUGCACCACUGCAUGACUGGCUUUCUCUUGUAGUAAUGAACUGGACAGCGCACAAUCAAAGAGUUCCCAACAUUAACUUUGUACCAGGACUGUCUAUGAACUUGAAUAUUACCUGGACAAUCCGUGGCAUUUAAUCCUGGAAGAGAAGGAAACCAUAACAAAAAUCACAGUUACUUCCCAUAACACUAAUCACAGUUUCUUUUCUCUCUCACUACUUACAACUUCCCAUGUCUACUUGCAGCAGAUCUGAUCUCUAUAUGAGACAGCGACAGCAGACAACAUCAAGACUAUUGGUUUUUAGGUUAAAAUUUACUUUCUCCCUCUGAUAUGAUUUUUCCCCUUUUUUCUAUAUCUCAGUCAAGUUAGAAAUUUAAUAGUUUAGAAAGAAAAUACUUAAAAUAUACAUUACACAUUUUCCUGUCUUGUCC